AUGCUCCAUUCUACACUGGCCUUGUCCCUCCUGCUAAUUGCAGUCACUUCCAACCUUGCCAUGGCAAUUAAAAAGGAAAAACGAGCGCCUCAGACCCUGUCAAGAGGGUGGGGAGAUGAAAUUACAUGGGUACAAACUUAUGAAGAAGGACUUUAUCAAGCAAAGAAAAGUAACAAGCCGCUAAUGGUAAUUCAUCAUUUGGAAGACUGUCAAUACUGCCAAGCACUGAAGAAAGCUUUCGCAGAAAAUGAAGAAAUACAGGAAAUGGCCCAAAAUAACUUCAUUAUGCUGAAUCUCAUGCAUGAAACUACAGACAAAAACCUGUCACCUGAUGGACAGUACGUGCCUCGAAUCAUGUUUGUAGACCCAUCUCUCACAGUAAGAGCUGAUAUCACAGGAAGAUACUCCAACCGGCUGUACACGUACGAGCCGCAGGACAUGAUGUUCCUAAUAGAGAACAUGAAGAAAGCACUACGCCUCAUUCAGACGGAACUGUAACCAGUAACAGUGAAAUGAGCAGAACCUCCACGAGAUUUGGCAAGAUUUCCCUGUCUGUGGUCAUACCCUCUUUUGAGCACGCCGGAGAUAUUCUGGAGAAAGGACUGCAAACUAGCUACCAGAGGGUAGCCACAGCAGCCAUUCACCUUCCUUUUCUCCAGGCUACACAACCUCUGCCACUCCUCCAGGAGCUUUGUGUUCUAGACCCUCCACCAGCUCCAUUGCCCUUCCCUGGAUGCGCUCCUGCCUUAUUGGCCUUGCCCCAACCCUUACCCAUAAACAUCAACCCUGCCAUCACCAUCACCAAGCUCUAGGUUGUGACAAAUCCCUAACAUAUGGGGCCACUCCACUGCCUCCCCUUCCUUGCCUGUCCCUUUGGAAGAGUUUACAGCCAUCCAGUGCAGCCCUCCAGUUGUGCCAGCCAGCCCACCAGGUUUCCAUGAUGGCAACCUACACCUGCUUUCCUGAUUCCCCAUGGCUUCCAGCUCCUUCUGUUUGUUGCCCAUGCUGUGUGCAUUGUGCAGAUGUGCUUCAGCUGGGCUAUUGAUCCUGCCAGCAUUUUGAGGGGAGAAGCCCUAAUUCCUACAUGCCCAUUCCCAGGCACUCUGUGGUUUCUAAUAUCAAUAACCCUUGUGUUUCUUCUGCCACAUGGCUCUAUCCCCUACCUCCACUGAGAGAACAGACCAAAGGACCUCACCAGCACACUGUCCCUCAAACAUUUGUGUGACACUACCAGACUUAACUCCAGGGAGCUGCUUUUACCCCCUUCCCUCUUCAAAUCCAGUUUAAAGUUCUUUAUUCCUUUAGUGGAUCCAUCCAUAAGCAAAGAGGUGGCUGUCAAGAAUGCACAAAGUUAGAAUCCCAAAAGAUUUGUGAUAUAGGACUGCUUGAUCUCGCUUCACCUCAGGAAAGCUUAACUUCAUAAUCUCACCUCAGUGCUGUAAAAGGAAAUAAAUGAUAGAAUUACCACUUAUUGAAAUCA
rnacentral:lncRNA from 1 species